rnacentral:rRNA from 1 species
AGAGUUUGAUCAUGGCUCAGGAUGAACGCUAGNUACCAGGCUUAACACAUGCAAGUCGAGGGGAAACGAUAUUGGAAGCUUGCUUCCGAUAGGCGUCGACCGGCGCACGGGUGAGUAACACGUAUCCAACCUGCCCACCACUUGGGGAUAACCUUGCGAAAGUAAGACUAAUACCCAAUGAUAUCUCUAGAAGACAUCUGAAAGAGAUUAAAGAUUUAUCGGUGAUGGAUGGGGAUGCGUCUGAUUAGCUUGUUGGCGGGGUAACGGCCCACCAAGGCAACGAUCAGUAGGGGUUCUGAGAGGAAGGUCCCCCACAUUGGAACUGAGACACGGUCCAAACUCCUACGGGAGGCAGCA